rnacentral:rRNA from 1 species
GUGUUGUUGGGUAGGGGAGCGUUCUGUAAGCCUGUGAAGGUGUACUGUGAGGUAUGCUGGAGGUAUCAGAAGUGCGAAUGCUGACAUAAGUAACGAUAAAGCGGGUGAAAAGCCCGCUCGCCGGAAGACCAAGGGUUCCUGUCCAACGUUAAUCGGGGCAGGGUGAGUCGACCCCUAAGGCGAGGCCGAAAGGCGUAGUCGAUGGGAAACAGGUUAAUAUUCCUGUACUUGGUGUUACUGCGAAGGGGGGACGGAGAAGGCUAUGUUGGCCGGGCGACGGUUGUCCCGGUUUAAGCGUGUAGGCUGGUUUUCCAGGCAAAUCCGGAAAAUCAAGGCUGAGGCGUGAUGACGAGGCACUACGGUGCUGAAGCAACAAAUGCCCUGCUUCCAGGAAAAGCCUCUAAGCAUCAGGUAACAUCAAAUCGUACCCCAAACCGACACAGGUGGUCAGGUAGAGAAUACCAAGGCGCUUGAGAGAACUCGGGUGAAGGAACUAGGCAAAAUGGUGCCGUAACUUCGGGAGAAGGCACGCUGAUAUGUAGGUGAAGUCCCCUCACGG